UUUUUUUUUUCACCGUGGGGCUUGAGCUCAUGACCCUGAGAUCAAAACCUAAGCUGAGAUCAGGAGUCACGUGCUUAACAGACUGAACCACUCAGGUGCCUUUCUGUUUGUUCUUUUACUCAUUUAACAAACCUUUACUGUAUACCUAUCAUGCAUUGAGAAUGCAGUUGAGCACUGGAAAUUCUAAAAUGAAUAAAUAAAAAAAUCCUCUAUCUUCAAAGAAAUCAGUUUGGUAGAGGAAGCAGAAUAUAAUCAAAUUAUGUCAAUAUUGCAUUACAAGCACUUUAAUAAAGGUAUGUGAAAAGAACAUGAAUUGAUACAAAAGGGAGAGAGGACAGCAUCAUCUAAUAGGGGGAGGACAAUUAGGGAAGAGGAGAAGAUGCAGAGCUGGCUCUUGAAAGAUGAAGCGAGAUCAUAAUCCAGAGGAAAACCAAAGGAGAUUUCAGAUCAAGAGAAAAACAUGUUCCAAGAUAAGAAACAUUGUUUGGUAUGUGCAAGAAAUUACAAGCAGUUUUUAGGGUGUAGCAGUGAUAAGACUGGAUAGGAAGGGAUGGGUGAGCUCAUGGAGCAGCCAAAUUCUACUGUGGAUAUGUAUCAGAUGCUUCUGUCUAGCUACCUACCUACCUACCUACCUAUCUACUUACCUAGUGUGUAUAUAUAAUCUAAUUUACAUAAACCCGAGGUUGUAAUAUUUAUUAUCCCAAAUUUACAGAUAAGGAAAUAGAAGCAUAUACGGCUAUCCAAGGCCACAUAGCUGGGAAUUAACAGCAACAAAAUCUAAACAUAUGGAAUCUGAUUCUAGAGUCUUGUCUCUUCAUCAUUACAUAAGAGUCUGGACUUUAUCAACUAUAGGGAGAAGUUUCAAAGAGAGGAAUGUUAUGGCAAGAGUAGGUUUUACAAAGGUCCUUCAAACCCCAGUGUGGAGAAUAGAUGAAAGAAGGAUGUCUAUAGGAGCAAAACCACCUAGCCAACCAUGUUCAUCAUGAAGGCAAUAUAAGGAAGACCUAAACUACUGCAGGGGGCAUGGUUUCUCCAGCACAGAAAGGUGAUUGACCCAAGGGGACACAAGCAGCUAGGCUGGGACUAAAAUGUAGGGUACAGACUCUGCUCAGUCAUCCUACACCAUUUACAAUUCUGUUAAAUAUGGUAUUAAAGAGAAAAUACUCUCUUCUAACAUGCAGCUGAGGCCCAGAUUCACAGAAUUCAGAGCUGGAAGAAACCUUAGGUUGAUUCAUUGCAUCUAUCUUCUUUAGUUAGGAAUUCCUUAUAGAGCAUCACUGUCAAAUGAUGUUCCAUUCUUUGCCUGAAAUUGUUAGCAAAUUGUCUUUAGAGUGAUUAACAUCAUUUACUCAAUAAACAUUUAUGGAGCACCUAUUGUGGUCAAGGCAUUAUGUUUGAUGUUGUGGUUACAAUGAACAAAAGCAAACAGGGCCUUGAGGAACUUACAACCUAAUAUUAAAACUUGUUUUCCUAUAAUAUCCACCUAUUGUCACUAGUUCUCUUCCUUAGAAUUAUAAAAGUAAGCUGUUAUUUUAUUCGCUACAGCAUUUCAAAUACUGAAAGAUUUGAAAACUCUCAAGGGUUUCUUUCUUUUUCUCUUUUCUAAGAUAAACAGUUUCUCCAACAGUUCUUCACAUAAAGCAGUCAAAUCUGCUUGUAACUACUCAGUUUGUAAUGAAUAAAUUGCUAAGUAUUACUGAAAAAAAUACAGCAUCUCUCAUUUAUAGCAGAGUCCAAGAUUGACAUAGAAAUCAUAUCAGUUAUAAUUUGAAAGAUUGCAGAUGUUAGUGGCUUUGAGAUAUCUGACCACCAGAAAUGGAUGCUGUAUUAGAAUUCAAAUCAUAAAGUUAAAAGUGUCAUAAUACAUUUGCACUUAUGCUUAAGUUAUUAUUUAUAUCAUAAUAAAGUUAUAAUAUAAAUUUUAAUAAUCAGAAAGAAGCCUCUGGUUUAAAAAUAUUAUUAGAAAAGUAGUUGAAGAAAUCUCCUCUCAACCUUCCAAAUAAGACAGAAAAUCCAAAAUCUCAUAAAAGCACAUCAAUAACCUCUGUCAAGAUAGUGACACAUUAUUCAAGAAUUGCUCAUUCAUGACAAGCAUUGAACGGUUUGAAAAUGCAAUCAAUGUUCCAACCAUAUAAUCUGAUCCUAAAGAGGAUAUGAUUUAGCCCUUUCCAGCUAUCUCUACACUAAAGAUCUGUUUCAACUUGAAAACAGGGCAGACAUCCUUCUCCUAAAUAGGUCCCACUUUUGAAAGAGAAAAAUAGAACUCAGAGUAUUCUUCCUAACUUUCCAUAUUAGAAUUCUCUUUUUAUAACCACUCUAAACUGUAAUUGCCACAAUUUAAAAGGCAAACAAGCAAAAAGAAAUCAGGAAGACAAUGUUAAUGGUAGUGCAAUGAAACUGAGGAAGCAUGACUUUCACAAGUAAGACUAU
rnacentral:lncRNA from 1 species